CUGGGCGGCGGCCUACCAUGCAGUCGAGCGGUAACAGAAAGUAGCUUGCUACUUUGCUGACGAGCGGCGGACGGGUGAGUAAUGCUUGGGAACAUGCCUUGAGGUGGGGGACAACAGUUGGAAACGACUGCUAAUACCGCAUAAUGUCUACGGACCAAAGGGGGCUUCGGCUCUCGCCUUUAGAUUGGCCCAAGUGGGAUUAGCUAGUUGGUGAGGUAAUGGCUCACCAAGGCGACGAUCCCUAGCUGGUUUGAGAGGAUGAUCAGCCACACUGGGACUGAGACACGGCCCAGACUCCUACGGGAGGCAGCAGUGGGGAAUAUUGCACAAUGGGCGCAAGCCUGAUGCAGCCAUGCCGCGUGUGUGAAGAAGGCCUUCGGGUUGUAAAGCACUUUCAGUCAGGAGGAAAGGUUAGUAGUUAAUACCUGCUAGCUGUGACGUUACUGACAGAAGAAGCACCGGCUAACUCCGUGCCAGCAGCCGCGGUAAUACGGAGGGUGCGAGCGUUAAUCGGAAUUACUGGGCGUAAAGCGUACGCAGGCGGUUUGUUAAGCGAGAUGUGAAAGCCCCGGGCUCAACCUGGGAACUGCAUUUCGAACUGGCAAACUAGAGUGUGAUAGAGGGUGGUAGAAUUUCAGGUGUAGCGGUGAAAUGCGUAGAGAUCUGAAGGAAUACCGAUGGCGAAGGCAGCCACCUGGGUCAACACUGACGCUCAUGUACGAAAGCGUGGGGAGCAAACGGGAUUAGAUACCCCGGUAGUCCACGCCGUAAACGAUGUCUACUAGAAGCUCGGAGCCUCGGUUCUGUUUUUCAAAGCUAACGCAUUAAGUAGACCGCCUGGGGAGUACGGCCGCAAGGUUAAAACUCAAAUGAAUUGACGGGGGCCCGCACAAGCGGUGGAGCAUGUGGUUUAAUUCGAUGCAACGCGAAGAACCUUACCUACACUUGACAUACAGAGAACUUACCAGAGAUGGUUUGGUGCCUUCGGGAACUCUGAUACAGGUGCUGCAUGGCUGUCGUCAGCUCGUGUUGUGAGAUGUUGGGUUAAGUCC
rnacentral:rRNA from 1 species